rnacentral:rRNA from 1 species
GAUGAACGCUGGUGGCGUGCCUAAUACAUGCAAGUCGAGCGAACAGACGAGGAGCUUGCUCCUCUGACGUUAGCGGCGGACGGGUGAGUAACACGUGGAUAACCUACCUAUAAGACUGGGAUAACUUCGGGAAACCGGAGCUAAUACCGGAUAAUAUAUUGAACCGCAUGGUUCAAUAGUGAAAGACGGUUUUGCUGUCACUUAUAGAUGGAUCCGCGCCGCAUUAGCUAGUUGGUAAGGUAACGGCUUACCAAGGCAACGAUGCGUAGCCGACCUGAGAGGGUGAUCGGCCACACUGGAACUGAGACACGGUCCAGACUCCUACGGGAGGCAGCAGUAGGGAAUCUUCCGCAAUGGGCGAAAGCCUGACGGAGCAACACCGCGUGAAUGAUGAAGGUCUUCGGAUCGUAAAACUCUGUUAUUAGGGAAGAACAAAUGUGUAAGUAACUAUGCACGUCUUGACGGUACCUAAUCAGAAAGCCACGGCUAGCUACGUG